AGAAACUUAGGUUAAGUACCAAACCUAGAGCCUUCAAAGCCCUAAACAGAGGGUGAACCUCUAGUUUCUG
rnacentral:tRNA from 1 species